CCUACGGGUGGCAGCAGUAGGGAAUAUUGCUCAAUGGGGGAAACCCUGAAGCAGCAACGCCGCGUGGAGGAUGAAGGUUUUCGGAUUGUAAACUCCUUUUGUUAGAGAAGAUAAUGACGGUAUCUAACGAAAAAGCAUCGGCUAACUCCGUGCCAGUAGCCGCGGUCAUACGGAGGAUGCGAGCGUUAUCCGGAUUUAUUGGGUUUAAAGGGUGCGCAGGCGGAUUUUUAAGUCAGCGGGCAAGUCGUGGGGCUCAGCCUCAUACAGCCGUUGAAACUGGGGAUCUAGAGUGUGCGAGAGGUAUGCGGAAUGCGUGGUGUAGCGGUGAAAUGCAUAGAUAUCACGCAGAACCCCGAUUGCGAAGGCAGCAUACCGGUGCACAACUGACGCUCAGGCACGAAAGCGUGGGUAUCGAACAGGAUUAGAUACCCCAGUAGUC
rnacentral:rRNA from 1 species